GGCCACCAUUCCAGAAGAUUUUCUCCUGUCGGCACAGCUGUGAAGAGAAUUCAGGCAACUGAUAUUGAUAGUGGAGAGUUUGGUACAGAUGGAAUAAGAUAUGAACUCUAUGGAUCCUACUUAGAUCUAUUCACAAUUAACUCAGAAACAGGUUUAGUCGAGGUUGCUUCCUGCGAUACAUAUGGUGUGAGGCCAUGCUUAGACUAUGACACUGCCCCUACUAUUUAUAGAUUAACCAUAAGAGCAAGGGACAGUAAAGGAAGUCUAAAUGGGAAGUUUUCAACGGUGUCUCUGAACGUAUAUUUGACAAAUGCACAUUAACGAUAAUCCACCUGUGGUUGGAG